AAGGGUUUUUUUUUUCCCAGUUCAAAAUUUCAGGUAGAAAUUGAUUUUCUCGUUUCUUUCUACUGUGGGGUUUAAAAAGGUUCCCGGUUAUUGUUUCCAUGCAUUAUUCUUGCGAUCACAUUACAUUUUGAAGAGAAGAAACUGGCUCAUCAACAGCAUAAUUUGCUAUGAAGAAGGAAGAGGCAAGGCCUUUAACUUCUGGGGAAAAAUCCCUUUCUCAAGCUGCACACUCUGACAGUGAUGCUGUUAGCUUUCUUUGUGACAACAGAAAGAAGAGUUCGAAAACAGAACUCCAGUGUUCAAUAGAUUUGUUUUUCAUUUUGUUGGGACAGGAUUUUCCCCACAAUCACUACUUCCUAUCUAUUAGAAGGGUUUUAGUUAAACAUUAAGUCAAUGAUGUUUUUUCUUCAGCAGGAAAACUUCUCUGCCCAAAGCAUGUCAUAGUCUUAUAUUUUCUACCAUCUCUCACUGAAGCAUGGAUUCAACGGAGCAACAAGGAUAUUAGGAUAGAAGCCAGGAAGUAAAGGUCAGACUCAAGACACAGACUUUAUUAUAUGGUUCUUCCAGCAGUCUGAUGCAUGACUUACAAAUCAUGUUUGCAGUCCAACUACAACUAACUACUAUUUAAAAUUAAAUUCACUUCUGCCUGCAUUUCCUGACUCGGAGGUUUAUGCUGUUGCUUUAAUUUUAUUUGAAUUUCAGUCUUCUGAAUUAGUUCUAUUUCCUAUCUCUUUAUCUUCAUUUGCCUGGAUGCAGUUGAAAAUACACUAGGGCAAAAUAAAAUUCUUAGUCACCAUCCUGUACGACUCUUCAAAAUUUCUAACAUGUGUAACGUUACCAAGCCGUGAUCGGCUUAGCUAACUGGCCACUUUCUCUGUACCGCAGAAUAAAAGUAAUAAUCUCAACAGAAAGUCGGGAUCUCUCUUACCCGAUUUUUCACAGAUCCAUUAAAAGAUACAUCAGACAAAAGGUAAGACAUUUCUAACUUCUUCACAGUAGGGACUGUCCAUUGGAAAUGAGCAGUUGCACAGUACACGUUCUAUCUUUGCGUGGGGAGAAAAUAAAUGUAACGGUACCUUUUAUUUUAAAAUGAUUUAAUUUCUGCUUUCACUUUUCUGCAGAACUGCGAAAGAGUAAUUUUGCUGGAUAUCCACUUAUUCCAAUUCAGCCAUUUGCAGACAGUAUGAGAAUUCUGGUGGGGUUGUUGACCCCUCUUUGCUCUGUGACAAUGCAAGCCUGCCUCUGUUUUAACCACAGUUAUAGGGAUGCUUUGCAUCUGCUUCCUGCUCAGAUGCUGAGGAACAGGAAUGACAGUCUGAGAGUUGUGUGACAGGAAAGAAAAAUAAAUAGACCCGAAGGAGAAGGAUCUGGACUGCCCCACCUGGACCUCAGGUGAAAACAGCAAAGUCUGGAGUGAGCAAAUACAAGUCCUGGUCUCCAAGGAUCUACUCUACCUGCUCUGAAAAUGUAUAAAAUUAUUAUUGUAAGAGAGAAAUAAACAUCUAUCCCUUUAAGGACCAUUAUUUCAAGACCCCACUUCAGCAGCUACAAUGAUGUAACUGCUACAGUUAGUAAUUAAUAGUUUAGUUGUAUUGCUACCAAGAAAUAUGAAAUCUAUAAAAUGCAUGUCCUAGUUCUAUGUAAAAUAUGCUAUUUUAUCUGUCUAAGAAAUUAUAAAGUUUUAUGAGUAUUUACUACUGUUUUUAUAAAUUUUCUAUUAGAUAACUGUAUGCUGUCUUAAUUUAUAUAUAUAUACAUACAUACAUGCAUGCAUACAUACAUACACACAUGUUAUUCAAUGCACAUUAUUAGUCAUGUUAUACUUUGCAUAUCAUGCUCAACAGCGUGGUAUAGAAUACUGAUGAGUUUCCAUCAAAAUAAAAAUGUUUCAUGUUCCCUUUA